rnacentral:rRNA from 1 species
UGCAAGUCGAGUGCGCGCCUGUAGCAAUACAGGUGGCGCACGGCGCACGGGUGCGUAACACGUGGGUAAUCUGCCCUCUGAUGGGGAAUAACCCGCCGAAAGGCGGGCUAAUACCGCAUAACAUUCCUUGGAUCUCGGUCCGGGGACUCAAAGGCGUAAGUCGUCGGAGGAGGAGCCCGCGCACGAUUAGCUAGUUGGUAGGGUAAUGGCCUACCAAGGCUUUGAUCGUUAGCUGGUCUGAGAGGAUGGCCAGCCACACUGGAACUGAGACACGGUCCAGACUCCUACGGGAGGCAGCAGUGGGGAAUCUUGCACAAUGGGCGAAAGCCUGAUGCAGCGACGCCGCGUGGGGGAUGAAGCAUUUCGGUGUGUAAACCCCUUUCGAUCCGGACGAAUACCUCGCAAGAGGGGUGACGGUACGGAUAUAAGAAGCCCCGGCUAACUACGUGCCAGCAGCCGCGGUAAGACGUAGGGGGCCAGCGUUGUUCGGAAUUACUGGGUGUAAAGGGUUCGUAGGCGGUGUGGCAAGUUGGGAGUGAAAUCUCUAGGCUCAACCUAGAGGCUGCUUCCAAAACUGCUGUGCUUGAGUGUGAGAGAGGCGCGUGGAAUUGCAGGUGUAGCGGUGAAAUGCGUAGAUAUCUGCAGGAACACCCGUGGCGAAAGCGGCGCGCUGGAUCACUACUGACGCUGAGGAACGAAAGCUAGGGGAGCAAACAGGAUUAGAUACCCUGUAGUCCUAGCCCUAAACGAUCAGACUUCGGGUGCCACCCGUUCGGGUGUCGUCCCGGAGCUACGCGUUAAGUCCUGCACCUGGGGAGUACGGUCGCAAGACUGAAACUCAAAGGAA